AUUUCUUGAGAAAUUAAAUAGAGAGCUAAAAUACACUGAUUGUUCCUCUUAUAGGUCCCACCUGUUUGACUCGCGACAAAGAAUUUGGGAGCAAAUGCACAGUCACAGAUGGAAGGGCUGCAACACACAUGGAUCUGGCCUGCAGUAGGAGUGCACCGGGGCUCAGCUCUCAGGCAAAGGCUGACCCUGUAAGCAAGAACCCCCGGGUGCAGUUGCAGAUGGCCCUCAUGGAUGUUCUGGUGCAGAGAGGCAGGUGAACGAGCAUGAAUGGAAGGAAGAGCUAAGCAGGUAUCCUGAGCAGAGUCUUGCUGUGUGGUGAUUCUCCAACUCCAGCCUCCCAAUCACAAGGACCACAGGCACACCCCUGUACCUGGACUGUCUUAGGUUGGGGCAGAAGCUGAUCCCAGGCCUCCCGAGUGACCCCAAGCUCUGUGCAGGGACACCUUCCUGCUGUAGCACCACAGCUAGACCUGUAUACUUAUUUAUUAUUUUUUUAAACUUUCAGACACUCCCUUUUUUAAAAAAAAAUGUGUUAUAGAAUAAAGAGAAAACUUCAAAUAAAAACUGUUAAUGCUAAGUAUCUUUUAAAAUUUAUAUUUCAUUACUAAGUAUUUCUCUUCUGCAUUUCUGUUCAUAGAUACAUCUCCUUAGGUUUUUACCACUUUCUAAAAUGAAUGGUCACUGAAUACCUAGAAGAGGCUUUUGGGGAGGAAAAGAAGUGAUCUCAGUGCUCGAGGAAAGCCAGUCCUCUGAGUAGCAUCCUGCGGUAUUUUAGUUAUCCUAAGGAAACACUAGCAGGAUUUAGGCUGUGCUGUUCAGCGGACCUGAGGGGCAUAGGUGGAGUACACGCAUGCUGAGAUUUCUUGGGCCAAGACCACAGCAGACCUGGAGGACUGGCUUAGGUCUCCCUCCCCAGAACUUCACUAGACUAGCCCAGAACCGACCAUGUAUUUCCUGCCAGGAGCGAGUGCUGCAUCAAGAUGCGGAAUGGCAGCUGUGCAUGGUGAAGGAUCCAGGCUACAGGGGCUUGGUUUCAAACCUUAGAACCACUGCAGCUUAAGAGAUCCUUGUUAGGGAC